rnacentral:rRNA from 1 species
GACGUCAAAUCAUCAUGCCCCUUAUGACCUGGGCUACACACGUGCUACAAUGGGAAGUACAACGAGUUGCGAAGUCGCGAGGCUAAGCUAAUCUCUUAAAGCUUCUCUCAGUUCGGAUUGCAGGCUGCAACUCGCCUGCAUGAAGCCGGAAUCGCUAGUAAUCGCGGAUCAGCACGCCGCGGUGAAUACGUUCCCGGGCCUUGUACACACCGCCCGUCACACCACGAGAGUUUGUAACACCCGAAGUCGGUGAGGUAACCUUUUGGAGCCAGCCGCCUAAGGUGGGAUAGAUGAUUGGGGUGAAGUCGUAACAAGGUAGCCGUAUCGGAAGG